UACAGAGGUCUCAAGCGUUGUUCGGAUUUAUUGGGCGUAAAGAGCGUGUAGGCGGCUAGAUAGGUCCGUUGUGAAAACUCGAGGCUCAACCUCGGGACGUCGGCGGAAACCAUCUGGCUAGAGUCCGGAAGAGGAGAGUGGAAUUCCCGGUGUAGCGGUGAAAUGCGCAGAUAUCGGGAAGAACACCCGUGGCGAAGGCGGCUCUCUGGGACGGUACUGACGCUGAGACGCGAAAGCGUGGGGAGCGAACAGG
rnacentral:rRNA from 1 species